CGUCUGGAGACGCACGCAGAGAGAAUGAUGGUCGGAGAUGUAAUGGAACAUUUUGAUUGUUGUUGUUUUUUCUAAAAUUUCUAAAAUCUCCUGAUGUGGUUCACGCGACCUCACAGCCGAGUUCAUGCUACUUAUUCGUGGACAUUUUGUGUCUCGACUGCUAACGAUUAACGCACGUGAAUAUUGACAGAGAAAAACAGAACAGAGCCUUCCUGAGGAGCCUGAGGAACCUAUCAAUGAGGAACCAGAGCCGCCAGAGGAAGCAGAGCCACAGCAGACCUCCCCCUCUCCACCUCCAAGACCUGAACCAGUUAACAUCUCUGAGCCGGAGCCUGAAUCAGAAUCAGAACCAGAAGCAGAACCAGAGACCAAGACCCAGGAAGCCAACUCAGAAGCUGAGCCUGUAACGCAGCAGCCGCAGAAAGCAAAGGAAGACGGUCAAAGCCCUGACGCUGACAAAGCUGGUGAAAAGGAGGAGGAAGCUACUGGGGACGACUGUGGUGCUCCCAUCAGCUGUGAUGCAUUUAAGAGCUGCCUGAUGCGCAUUCCUCACACCUCCGAGUGCCUCGGCAACAUCAACGCGUUCUUCAAAGAGAACGGCAUCUCCAUUCCCAAAAUACCCUCCAUGCCUAAGCUAC